rnacentral:rRNA from 1 species
UGGGGAAUAUUGCACAAUGGGCGAAAGCCUGAUGCAGCAACGCCGCGUGAGUGAUGAAGGUCUUCGGAUUGUAAAGCUCUGUCUUUUGGGACGAUAAUGACGGUACCAAAGGAGGAAGCCACGGCUAACUACGUGCCAGCAGCCGCGGUAAUACGUAGGUGGCGAGCGUUGUCCGGAUUUACUGGGCGUAAGGGUGCGUAGGCGGAUGUUUAAGUGAGAUGUGAAAUACCCGGGCUUAACUUGGGUGCUGCAUUUCA